rfam:Piromyces finnis strain finn BCR36scaffold_4, whole genome shotgun sequence.
GGUUCUAUAGUGUAGUGGCUAGCACGUUGGACUCUGAAUCCAACGACCCGAGUUCGAAUCUCGGUAGAACCU